rnacentral:rRNA from 1 species
AAUUGAUUCUGCUAAGAUUAAAGUUUAGACUAGGAUUAGAUACCCUAUUAUUUUUUAUUUUAAAUUUAUACCUGAGGAGUAUAGAGGUUUUGUUUAAAACUCAAAGGACUUGGCGGUAUUUUAGACCUCUUAGGGGAGUUUGUCUCGUAAUCGAUGAUCCACGAUAGACCUAAUUUUCUUUAUUUAGUUUGUAUACCGUCGUCGUCGGUUGUCUUUUUAGAAUUUAAUAGUUUUCAUAAUAAGUCAGAUAAAGGUGCAGCUUAUAGGAAAGUGAGGAUGAACUACAAUUAUUAUAUUUAUAUAUCGGAUGGGUAUAUUAAUAAGGAGGACUUGAAAGUAA